GUGCCACCGGUCACCAGAGGAGCGCCUCCUCCCUCCGAGCACCCUAGCAACCUUGGUUUUCCACGAUUUGGCCGGAAAACCACGGAUCGAAGCCAAAACCCCUCCGGCUGCAGUUUGGAACUUUUGCCGAUUUCCGGCGAUUCCGGCCACCUCCGGUCCCCAUUUUUCUGUCGAAGGGCAAUGUCGCGAGCUACGGUUAGAUGAAGGAACUCGUUUGCGUGGUUGCCAAUAGUACUCUUGUUCUAUUUUAUUAA
rnacentral:lncRNA from 1 species